UCAAAAGCCCACGCACUUGACAAACCAUUUUCAUCUCUGGACUCACAUCGCAAAGCUUUACAUCUUCUUCCACCUAUUGAGUAGGCUGAGUGAUCCAAGCACAGAUAACUGCACAUUUCCCUCUUGAAAUUAUGAAUAAAAGAGUAGGCAGUGCUUCCUGAGUGCUUGGUCUCUAGUGGAAAUAGAGGUUUGCUUUUUGCAUUAGAGAAUGCCUUAGCCAUCUGGCAUCUCAGCUUGAUGAGAAAACUGAGCUAAUUUAAAACUUGUUGCGUAGGUUACGUAACCUGGCUUGUUUGCAGUUAGACUUCAUGCAGCAGCUACAGCAUAGGGGAUGUUCUGUAGGGUCAGAACCUGGAGGCAACGUCGAGGGAAGAUGGUAAUGCCUCCAUCAGAUGUUGCUUUUUAGAAAAACCUAUAAGAAAUCAUUCUGCAACAGUAUUUACCACUGUGUCAUUAAGACAGAAUGAAUCCAAAACCAGGAAUAGUCUCAUUAAGCUUUUGGUAGGAAGACAGCUUGACCAUUUUCAGUUUUGAAAUAAAGGUCAGCCAUCAAUUUUCAGCUUUUGAAUUAAGUUAGACUUCUGUCUCCUUCCUCCCAACUCCAUUUCCCCAUGUCAGCUUUCUAUUUUUAUCCUUGGGUGCCCUUUUUCUUGUUAGUGCUGCUCCAUAUCUAGUUUUUCCUGUACCAGCAGAGGAUACGUACCAGGAGAUUAUCUUCUUUUUCUAGCUCAUUGUUCAUGUCACAUGCCCAACUUUAUGCAGUUACACAUUAAUGCCUACAUUCAGUGAAGCAGUUAAACACAUGAUCUUCUUAGCAGUACAACUGAGGAAGGUUCCCAUGGUCCACAUGCCCACACAUGGGGAGUAUUUUGUAGGGCCAAUUUUGUCCAGUUAAAGCUAUCAGUACUUUCAGAUCACUGACCAAGACUGCCCUGAUCCUUCCAGCUGACCUCUACUGAGCACUCACAAUCACAUGAGGUAAGCAGAGUAAUCAGAAUAUACUUAAUACACUUUAUUGAUAAGAUGAUCCCUACUAAAUACAGUUCCAUGCAUUCCUGUCAUUGGGGCUUCUACCUCAGGUGCUCCUCAGCAUGCUUUCCUGAGCUUAUGUGUUUUUGCCUUUAAUAAUUAUUCCUAUCCAAGCUUUUUUAACCCUACUAACUCCUAAUGCUGCUUUAAGGUAUUUCACGUUAGAUUCAAAAUAUUCAUAGAGUUGUCACCUGUUAAAGAAAUGCAUGCCAGGAGUUAAAUUACUGAGUUGUUAUAUUUAUUCUCAGUUACCUUAAAGCAGGUGUUGGUUUGGGGCUGCAGUUGUGGAUCUAUUGGUGACUCACACACAAUGCAGGUGGGCGUAUUCAUUGGCACGAGAUGUUUGCAUUCAAGACAUGGUGCCAUCUGAAAGAAAAAAUGUAUCACAUCUUAUUAAGGAGAUCAUUAAGGUUAUCAUGAGAUCUUUAAUGAUACUGUGACAGUUUGCCACGAUAUUGUCAUUAAUGUCACAAUAUUGUAUUUUCUAUAUCUUGCUCAUUAGAGUUUCUAUCAGCAGCAAAGUCAGUGGACUGACAGCAGAAAACAAAAGUUGACAUUGAUCAAAGAGAAUGCUUUACUGAUACGUGUGCCAGAAAGGUGCUAAGUUACUUCACAGUCAAUUUAAAUGCUAUCAUAAUGUGUGUAGGCAGCUCAAGUCGUUGUAACUGUGAACUACAGAGGUGCUCAAUAUUUUCAGUCAUCUCUUGAAACUACAGCAUUGUCUCAGACAAGACAUCUUUCUGAGGAUACAGGAGGAAAAAAACAACACCAUUGACUCAUUAGAUAGGGUUAUUAUCUCCUGGGAAGAGCUUAUGGAAGACAGUGGAAGACAUAACUGCAAAAACUUAGUGUUCUGACAUACACACCACUGUUCAAAUCUGCAGGCAUAUUAGAUGGAUCUUCUACAGCUGUGGCAUAGACACUAGUUACUAGCUAACUAACCUCACUAGUUAGCACUGAAAUAAGAUGCAUAUGCAGCUCCUGAAGAUGCAGUCGUUGUUGCAGGAUGAGGAGGAAUCUGAAUUUGGUGAUGUUUCCUGGCACAAGUGAAUAAAAUACAAUUUACUUUUAUAAAGUUGUCCUUAUUAAAAUAUGUGGCACCUGCAGCAAUCCAGUUAAUUUUGCCCUCCAUUGAAUAACUACUUUGGUAGUUAUUCACUGCUGAAAUUUCCAAACAAAAUAAGAAAAAGAACUUCUCCAAUGAAAGAGUGACUAAACAAUGAACAUGUAAUUUGCUGAGGAAGUUCCUCCACAGAGGAUUCAUUGUGUUACGAUGUUUUGCUGACCUGUGCUCCUUCAGGGGAUGGGAAGCGGCGCACUGACAUGGGUGGGAUAGGAGAGCCACAUUCCUGGCAGAAGUGAGCCGAGGGGUCAGACAGGCGAGGUGCAGAGCAGUAUGCACAUCUGAAAACAACAGCAAGCUGGCUGAUCUUGUUUUGGUGACGUACUGGUGUGUAACAGUGACAAAUCUGGAACAGUUUGUGUCUGGACUUAGGCCACUGAUUUGUAAAUUGUGGCUCCUAGUCUAUGGUGGCUCACCAGGCCGUUCCCCAGUGUCUUUUGCAGGAGGCUGAACAACCAAGAGCUUUGCAAGGUGGAAGCUCUCUGGCUGCUGCUACAAAGUUUCAUGAUUUUUACUCACCAUAUAAGGUCUACUGAUACCUGAGCUGCAUCACCUACUGACAAAGAUGUCAAUGGAAGUCAUUCACCUGAGGAAAUCUCUGUCUCUCUGGAUCCUUGCCACCUGUGUGCUUGCUAGGCUCUUCCGGCUGGGCACUGCAGAACUGGCAAACUGAAAUAAAGGCCAUUCUGUGAUCCUAUGAUAAAGAUCGCAAAGACCACAAUCAUCUGCAAACAACGGUAUGGAGAUUAAGGUUCAAAGGAUCGCGUAACAAAAGGUUCUACGGAGGCAAAGCUGCAGUUCGUACCUGACUUUAUUUCUAGCCGAGUGCUGGUGUCUAUCCGGUGCUUGGCCCUCCCUGGAAGAGGGCUCCGAAGGGGUAUGACCUGCGGCACCGACACGGAGCCCGCCGUCAUCCU